UACAGAGGUCCCGAGCGUUGUUCGGAUUCACUGGGCGUAAAGGGUGCGUAGGUGGUCAGGUAAGUCGGAUGUGAAAUCUCGGAGCUCAACUCCGAAACGGCAUUGGAAACUACCUGGCUCGAGGGUUGGAGGGGGGACUGGAAUACUUGGUGUAGCAGUGAAAUGCGUAGAUAUCAGGAGGAACACCGGUGGCGAAGGCGGGUCUCUGGGCAGUAACUGACGCUGAGGAGCGAAAGCGUGGGGAGCGAACAGG
rnacentral:rRNA from 1 species